UACGUAGGGGGCAAGCGUUGUCCGGAAUUAUUGGGCGUAAAGCGCACGUAGGCGGAUCUUUAAGUCAGGGGUGAAAUCCCGAGGCUCAACCUCGGAACUGCCUUUGAUACUGGGGAUCUCGAGUCCGGGAGAGGUGAGUGGAACUGCGAGUGUAGAGGUGAAAUUCGUAGAUAUUCGCAAGAACACCAGUGGCGAAGGCGGCUCACUGGCCCGGAACUGACGCUGAGGUGCGAAAGCGUGGGGAGCAAACAGG
rnacentral:rRNA from 1 species